rnacentral:rRNA from 1 species
AUUGAACGCUGGCGGCAUGCCUAACACAUGCAAGUCGAGCGGAUGAAGGGAGCUUGCUCCUGGAUUCAGCGGCUGACGGGUGGGUAAUGCCUAGGAAUCUGCCUGGUAGUGGGGGAUGACGUCCGGAAGGGGGCGCUAAUACCACAUACGUCCUGAGGUGGAACGGGAUGGAUCUUCGUAGCUCGCGCUAUCAUGUGAGUGUAGGUCGGAUUAGCUAGUUGGCGGGUUAAAGGCCUACCAAGGCGACGAUCCGUAACUGGGCGGAGAGGAUGAUCAGUCACACUGGAACUGAGACACGGUCCAGACUACUACGGGAGGCAGCAGUGGGGAAUAUUGGACAAUGGGCGAAAGCCUGAUCCAGCCAUGCCGCGUGUGUGAAGAAGGUCUUCGGAUUGUAAAGCACUUUAAGUUGGGAGGAAGGGCAGUAAGUUAAUACCUUGCUGUUGUGACGUUACCAACAGAAUAAGCACCGGCUAACUUCGUG